rnacentral:rRNA from 1 species
GAUGAACGCUGGCGGCGUGCCUAAUACAUGCAAGUCGAGCGAACGGACGCGAAGCUUGCUUUUCUGAUGUUAGCGGCGGACGGGUGAGUAACACGUGGAUAACCUACCUAUAAGACUGGGAUAACUUCGGGAAACCGGAGCUAAUACCGGAUAAUAUUUUGAACCGCAUGGUUCAAAAGUGAGAGACGGUCUUGCUGUCACUUAUAGAUGGAUCCGCGCUGCAUUAGCUAGUUGGUAAGGUAACGGCUUACCAAGGCAACGAUGCGUAGCCGACCUGAGAGGGUGGUCGGCCACACGGGAACGGAGACACGCUCCAGACUCCUACGGGAGGCAGCAGUAGGGAAUGUUCCGCAAUGGGCGAAAGCCUGACGGAGCAACGCCGCGUGAGUGAUGAAGGUCUUCGGAUCGUAAAACUCUGUUAUUAGGGAAGAACAUAUGUGUAAGUAACUGUGCACAUCUUGACGGUACCUAAUCAGAAAGCAACGGCUAACUACGUG